GGUUAAGUUAUUAAGGGCGCAUGGUGGAUGCCUUGGCACUAGGAGCCGAUGAAGGACGGGACUAACACCGAUAUGCUUCGGGGAGCUGUAAGUAAGCUUUGAUCCGGAGAUUUCCGAAUGGGGGAACCCAACUUGUUAUGCAAGUUAUCACCUAAUGAAUAUAUAGUUAGGUUGAAGGUAGACGUUGUGAACUGAAACAUCUCAUUAGCAACAGGAAUAGAAAGAAAAAUCGAUACCGUCAGUAGCGGCGAGCGAAAUCGGUAGAGCCCAAACCAAAGUGCUUGCACUUUGGGGUUGUAGGACUGACAUUGUGGAGUUACAAAGUUAACAUUUAGCAGAAUCAGCUGGGAAGCUGAGCGAGACAGGGUGAUAGCCCCGUAUGCGAAAAAUGUUGACCUCCCGUCAGGAUCCUGAGUACGGCCGGACACGUGAAAUCCGGUCGGAAUCCGCGAGGACCAUCUCGCAAGGCUAAAUACUCCCUAGUGACCGAUAGUGAACCAGUACCGUGAGGGAAAGGUGAAAAGCACCCCGGAAGGGGAGUGAAAAAGUUCCUGAAACCAUGUGCCUACAAGAAGUUAGAGCCCGUUAAUGGGUGAUAGCGUGCCUUUUGUAGAAUGAACCGGCGAGUUACGAUAACGUGCAAGGUUAAGGUGGAAAGACCGGAGCCGUAGCGAAAGCGAGUCUGAAAUGGGCGAGUUAGUACGUUGUUGUAGACCCGAAACCAGGUGACCUACCCAUGUCCAGGGUGAAGGUGCGGUAAAACGCACUGGAGGCCCGAACCCGUGCAUGUUGAAAAAUGCUGGGAUGAGGUGUGGGUAGCGGUGAAAUUCCAAUCGAACUUGGAGAUAGCUGGUUCUCUCCGAAAUAGCUUUAGGGCUAGCCUCGGAAUGUAGCGUGUUGGAGGUAGAGCACUGUUUUGGUGCGGGGCCCAUCUCGGGUUACCAAAUUAAGAUAAACUCCGAAUGCCAAUCACGUAUGUCCGGGAGUCAGACAGUGAGUGAUAAGAUCCAUUGUCGAA
rnacentral:rRNA from 1 species